AUGAAGACCGCAGCUAAAUGCGCGUCAGAAUGUGAACUGCAGGACACAUGAACACCGACACGUUGAACGCAUAUUGCGCAUCGGACGUUUCAACCCGACCGAUGCACACAUCCUUGAGUGCCUACUCGUUAUCUAUACACUCUUACUAGACUGACAACUAUCKUAAGGAUAGGCUGUCGCAUAUUGACGUGCUAGGACCCGCGGUAGACGGGACCUUGGGCGUUUAAAGUGAGAGAGCUAAUAUGGAAGACUACAUGUAUCGUGAGGUACAUGGUAGUAGGUGAGAGAUGAGAAGACUCGCGACAAGUCGCUAAGGUUCGACCUCAAGUAUCAACCCGGGAUGAAACCCCCGCAGCCUAUCAUCAGGCGCUAGCAAAGGGGUCCUAGGUGGCUCGGGUCGUGUAACACUUGCUUCCCAACGAGUCUAUCUUCAUCGUCUUACGGUGAUAUAAAGGGAAAUUAGCUUCUCUAACGUAGGCCUCAAGUGAUGUGUG
rnacentral:rRNA from 1 species